UUGAUUCCAGACAAGGAGAUACUGAAGAUCGUGAAAGAGAGCUUCGAUUUCAGACCAGGGAUGAUGACUAUUAACUUGGACUUGAAGAGAGGAGGCAAUGGGAGGUUUUUGAAAACGGCGGCGUAUGGGCAUUUCGGAAGAGACGACCCUGACUUCACCUGGGAGGUCGUGAAGCCACUCAAGUGGGACAAACCUCAGGCUUAAGAUUCUUAUUAUUACUAUCAUGAUUUUAGUAUUUUCUAUGCUUGUUUCUAUCCCUUUUCACUUUUAAACAUCUGCUUUGAGCAAUAAUUAACCCCCUCUGUUUUGGGGCUUUUAUUUUAUUUUCUGUCUUUUUUAAUGAAAGUUUAUGGUUUGU
rnacentral:lncRNA from 1 species